GAAAAAGUGUAAAUUUGUUAACACGACGAUCGGAUCCUGCCUGAGCAAAAACGAAAUCGUUUUCCGUUAGGGUGACAAUGUCGAAACAAACGUACAAAGUCGGAUUUUUUUUCCGGCGGCAGUUCACCAUGGCUGCCGCGGAAGCUCCGGCGGACAUUAAGAGCCUAUUUAAACGUUAUUCCGACGACAGCGGAGUUAUGAGCGUCCAGAAUCUUCAUAGUUUCUUAAUUGAGAUCCAGAAGGAGAAAAAUGUUAGCUUAGAGAACGCAGAAGCCAUUAUCAAUAAUCACGGCGGCGACUCCAAGCAGAAAGGCCUCCAGCUCGAUGGCUUCUUCAAGUUUCUCUUUUCUGAUGUUAAUCCUCCUCUCGAUCCUAAACUUGGGAUUCACCAUGAUAUGACUGCACCUCUGUCUCAUUACUACAUAUACACAGGCCAUAAUUCAUAUUUAACUGGGAAUCAACUGAGUAGUGAUUGCAGUGAUGUUC
rnacentral:misc_RNA from 1 species